CAAACUAACAAGGUAUUCCCUUAGUAACGGCGAGUGAACAGGGAAAAGCCCAGCACCGAAGCCUGUGAUCUUUUGGUCACUAGGCAAUGUGGUGUUUAGGUCUUCUUGCGGAGGCACUGCUCCACUUCAAGUCCAGCAUUGAGUACGGUUUUUUGGACUUGGCCCAAAGAGGGUGAAAGGCCCGUGGAAGUGGGGUUCAUAUUUGUCAGUGCUUCUCUAAGUUGACCUUGGAGUCGGGUUGUUUGUGAAUGCAGCCCAAAGUGGGUGGUAAACUCCAUCCAAGGCUAAAUACUUACACGAGUCCGAUAGCGAACAAGUACCGUGAGGGAAAGUUGAAAAGUACUUUGAAGAGAGAGUAAACAGUGCGUGAAACCGCAUAGAGGUAAACGGGUAGAGUUGAACUGCAAUCCUUAUGAAUUCAGCUGGUGAACAUGGCUUGAGCUUGGUCAAAUCUGUCAACUUUGUGAAUCUGCCCAUUUGCAGGUCCCUGCUUCUGUAGGGAUUCGUGAUGCACUUAUCAAGUGUUACGAGUUCAUGAUGUUUUGGGCUUGUUUGCCAGUGCACUUUCAUAAGGUGAUCACCACGACCGGCACUGCUGUCUGUCUUCUGUGGUCAAACCGUUUGGGCUUAGUCCUCGUGGCUUUGCUCUUUCGGGAUGGCAGGUAGCCUGUUAAUUGCGCUUGCGUAGUUUUCGGGUGUAAUAGUUGACUACAGUUGGAUUGUGCAGUGUGCCGGAGAUGGCGGCUUAUUGGGAUGUGCAUGCGUUCCUAUCUGCUGGCAGCGUUGAGUCUGGUUACCAUGUGCUUGUAAAAGCAGGCCUGGUAGUGUCUCUGUGCUGUGUGGCGGAUGGUUGCGUGUGUGAUCCUUUGAUGGGCCUAAAGUCUGUGGUGUAGUGGUAAACGAUCUACCUGACCCGUCUUGAAACACGGACCAAGGAGUUUAACAUGUGCGCGAGUCAUUGGGCGUCACGAAACCCACAGGCGAAGUGAAAGUAAAGGUUCGGCUUGCACGAACUAUGGUGAGAUCUUGUCGUUUCCUCUGCGUGGUACCACCAAGCACUCGAGCGGCAGGCGCAUCACCGGCCCGUCUCAAAAUGUAGUUAUGAUUUUAUUAUACAUCAUUGGGGCGGAGCAUGAGCGCACACGUUGAGACCCGAAAGAUGGUGAACUAUGCUUGCGCAGGUUGAAGCCAGAGGAAACUCUGGUGGAGGACCGUAGCGAUUCUGACGUGCAAAUCGAUCGUCAAACGUGAGUAUAGGGGCGAAAGACUA
rnacentral:rRNA from 1 species